UUUUUCCUUAAGUGCUGCUCAAUGGAAAUUUAUUUUUUUUUUGGAUCAUUGCAAUAUUUUUUUAGUAAGAAAAAUUUUGUCAUGUUUUUAAUCCAACGCUACUUUUUUUUUUUUAACUCAGCCACUGCGCGCCGACAUUUUAAAUCUGCCUCAACUGUUUGCUUCCUUCCGCCGUGAUAAGUUUCUCCUUCCUUGAGUCUGUGGUGUGUACUGGGAUGCGAAAGGCUCUAGGUGUCAGAUGCCUCCCUUCAUUCUUCAGGCUGCAAGCUUCCAGGUAAAGCACGUUCCACCGAUUUGGGGCUUGAUUUUUGUGUGUGUGUUUGUGCAGCUUCUUUGAAGCAAUUUUUUUUCCUGGCAUGUGUAUCAAUUGUUCGGCGCGUUCGCAUGAAAUGUGUGAAUUGGCACCGUCUGAGCCGAGCUGGGUGCGUGUGGGGGAAUAAAGAUGCCAGCGUGCCAAGAGUACAGAUGCUGCAUGAACUGUGCAGCCCUUGUAGACAGUCCCAGCUCUGCAGUGGGUAGAGAAGUGGCAGCCUUCCAAAGCCAUCACAGCUUUUAUUCAUCGUCUGUACAACAACUACAUAACGUCUCGCUGGGCAGCGCCAGGCACGGAUGGACGAGGGGAGAGUUUUGAAGGAGUGGGAAAGCACAACUUGGAAAAUGGGGUUCUCAGCAAUAUUUGGCCUAUGACGUCGGGAUUUAAAGUGCCAAGAAAGAGAGAGGAACCCUCCCACCCCAAGUGCCACCCGUGAGAGUAAUGGAAGAGCUGUCAACCCAUGCCCAGGCACAUAUAAACAGGGAGCUCAGAAGUGAAGAGAAACAGGUCAAAGAAGAGUCAUCCUCCUUUAAGUGCCAAGAAGAGGCCUUCUACCUUCUGGUGCAAGAAGACAUUGAACAAGAAUUGGAAGCUAAAGCUACCAAAGAAGUUGAAAGAAAACUAAGCAGGGAUUUAGUGCAAGAAGAGGAAGAACAGUUGAUGGAAGAAAGGAAAAAGAGAAAAGAAGACAAGAAAAAGAAGGAAGCUGCUCAAAAAAAGGUAUGUGGAUCAUUUAAGUUAAAAAAAAUAGGAUUUGGCUUUUGUUUUUUUUCUCAGACUAAUUUUGCUUAUUGUAAUAUAGCUGUUAAAGAUAAGCCCUUUUUUUUUUUUUUUUAAAUCUCAUUAUAGCACUUCCAAAGCACAAUGCAAUCAUCAAGUAACUGUCUUACUGAACAUCUUUACUGAUCUUGCAGGCAUAGUUUUUUCAAAGCUAAAAAUCUUGUUUAGAUAUCCAUUUAGCUCACAGAUCUUCAGUUGAUAGGGACGUUUCUGGAUGCAAGCCCAUGCAUACACAAUGUGAAGACUGACAUAGUAUAAAAUGUUUUUUAAAAUAGUUGUUUUUAGCUGUUAGCCUUAUUUUAAUACAUCUGAUUAGCCUUCUGUGAUUAGUGUAACUCUUCAUCACACAUGCUUUAUCAAAGAUGGAUAAAAUUAAAACAUUGGCAGCAGGGAGUGGGGUUUAAGACUAGUUAUGGUAAAGUGCUUUGAAGAUAUAAGAGCAUUGAGUGAAUACUAAGAAUUAUUCCCAAGACAUUUUUAAAGAAAAAAUACAAAAUUACUUUUUGGGUAAUGUUAAAACAGUAUCCGUCAGUCAUUAGUAUUUAACAUUGUAGAUGCCCUGGUUGAGAGGAGCCCAUAAAUCUGGCUAAGAACAUAUCUCCAUUUCAGACUUCCAAUUCCUGUAAGGAGACAUCUAAAAUAAGCCUAGUUCUCAAUUUUUUCUUGAUCCUCCUUAGCAAUGUAAAAUGUUCAGUUCAUAUGCAGAAAGAUGGCUAGUCAUUUCUGCAACCCAGACCUCUUGUCAAAAUAAAAGGGUUUAUCUCAUUUACA
rnacentral:lncRNA from 1 species